GGCGGUGCUUGGCGGGCGGUUGAUGGCGACGCCGGGGCUGGCGUUCCUGGUGGGGUAUCAGGCGGCCUUGCGCAUGCUCUGGCCGAGCGCGCCACUG
rnacentral:tRNA from 2 species